rnacentral:rRNA from 1 species
UGCAGUCGAACGGCAGCACGAGAGAGCUUGCUCUCUUGGUGGCGAGUGGCGGACGGGUGAGGAAUACAUCGGAAUCUACCUUUUGGUGGGGGAUAACGUAGGGAAACUUACGCUAAUACCGCAUACGCCCUUCGGGGGAAAGCCGGGGACCUUCGGGCCUGGCGCUGAUAGAUGAGCCGAUGUCGGAUUAGCUAGUUGGUGAGGUAAUGGCUCACCAAGGCGACGAUCCGUAGCUGGUCUGAGAGGAUGAUCAGCCACACUGGAACUGAGACACGGUCCAGACUCCUACGGGAGGCAGCAGUGGGGAAUAUUGGACAAUGGGCGCAAGCCUGAUCCAGCCAUACCGCGUGGGUGAAGAAGGCCUUCGGGUUGUAAAGCCCUUUUGUUGGGAAAGAAAAGCNAUCGGUUAAUACCCGGUUGUUCUGACGGUACCCAAAGAAUAAGCACCGGCUAACUUCGUGCCAGCAGCCGCGGUAAUACGAAGGGUGCAAGCGUUACUCGGAAUUACUGGGCGUAAAGCGUGCGUAGGUGGUGGUUUAAGUCCGUUGUGAAAGCCCUGGGCUCAACCUGGGAAUUGCAGUGGAUACUGGGUCACUAGAGUGUGGUAGAGGAUAGUGGAAUUUCCGGUG